rnacentral:lncRNA from 1 species
CGCCGCGCACCCGCCUGAAGCUUCCCUCCUCCCUGGCCCUCCCCUCCCCGAUGACUGUCUUCUCCCUCGUCCUCCUCACCUACUUCGCCGUGGUCUCCGGGCUUGUCUACGACGUCAUCGUCGAGCCCCCCGGCAUCGGCAGCACCCAGGACCACUUCACCGGCACCGUCCGCCCCGUCGUCUUCCUCCCCGGCCGCGUCAACGGCCAGUACAUCAUCGAGGGCCUCUCCUCCGGAUUCAUGUUUGUGCUCGGCGGCGUCGGCCUGAUCCUGAUGGACCUUGCUCUCGACCGCAACCGCGCCCGCAGCGUCCGCAUCUCCUUCGCGUCCUUCGGGAUCUCCGCCGUGGUCAUCGCCUACCUCAUGAGCAUGCUCUUCAUCCGCAUCAAGAUCCCCGCGUACCUCUCAUGAUUCGCCUGUUGUCAAGGGGGUAUUUGGUUACCGGACGUUUCCCCAUUUCAUUUUAGAUAUUAUGAAGAAUAAGUGCUCUUUUUAAGUUGAUUGCAUUCUGAUUGGUACCGCUUGGAGUUAAUCUUCGAUUUUCUUUUUGGUUAAAAGGAGUUAUUUUGAAUGUUUGAUUAUGUUUGUUUUGAAAUGCUUUAGGUUUGAUGCAAUGUAUAACAAAUCUAGGAUGCUAAUAUGCCUUAUAAAGCACUUGCUUACUACUUUGUGCAUCUUGGUUCUUUUUUCUGGAAUUCUAGUAAUAUUUUGAGUG